AUGUCUUCCUCAAAAUAUUAUUUUCUCCAUGCCCAAUUUAUCAUUGAUAUUCAAGCUUAUCCACGACUUCUCUCCUUCAUCUUCAAAUAUAAUCUCCAUUCUCUCACACCAAAUACCAUAAACUCCAAGAGGUUGAUACUAAACCGCAUAUUCAGACAUUUCAGAACAGUUUCCUUCUUUUUUCUCUUCAUUUUCGCUUCUUAUUACCAUGAAUCAUGCAUAAUCAUUCAUAUGUAUUAA